GUCAUGGCCUGAAGACAUUUUUUUGGUAGCACUCCUCCUGAACCCUUGGCUCUUACAUUCUUUCUGUUUCUAAUUCUGUGAUGUUCCUUCGGUCUAGGUGGCAGGAGGUGAUACAGAUGUCCCUUUAAGACUGAACACUCUCCAUUUAGCUAAACAGUAGUAGCGGGUUCUCCUUUAGGGCCUAUAAGCUCCCCAGACACAGGUUCCUGGAAAGAUUUAUAGUAUAAUUUCUGCGGCAUGGGCCCUUAGACAGUAGAAAAAAAUAGUUAGGCUGAGAUGAUUAAAAUAAAGGAUUGAGGUAUAAAUGAGCAUGUUGUGUUUAUUCUGGCUCCAAUAAAUAUGACAUGUACGGAAUAGCAACAGUCUAUAACAGUAUGGAACUUAAAAUAUUUAAUGCUUUCAGUCACUCCUUAAAGAUAUGUGUGUUUGAGGGAGAAUGUAGAAACUACUAGGGCAGUCUGGGGCGAUGGCUCAGUGGCUAAAGCACUUGCCGUUAGAGCUUGAGGUUCUGAGUUUGAGUCCUCGGAACUCAUGUAAAACAGGACACAGAGGCACACAUCUGUCAUCCCAGCACUCCUGCCCUGAGAAGGGACGUAGGGUCAGGAGAAUCCAUAAAACUGUGGGCCAGUUAGCUGGUGUCCACUGCUGCAUACCUCAAGGGACACAGUCUCAAAGAACAUAGAAGGUAAGGACUGAUGAUACCUGAGGGUGUUGUCCAACCUCAACACAUAUGGAUGCCAAUCUACACACACACACACACACACACACACACAUACACACACACACACAUCAGUCAUACAUAGCAAUUUAAAAAAUAAUAGUUUGUAUAUAAUUUAGUAUGUUAUAAUUUUUAUCAUAUGAACUGUAUCUAAAACAGUAGAAACCUGAAAUUUUUUUUUAUAACACAAAGAUUCUGUUGAAAGCUAAGUAUAUGUAAGGUCAUGUUUUGUGGAUGAUAUUACCAAGAGAUUGAAAAACUUAAUGUGAAGCUUUGAAUGUGUCUUUCUUUUUCUUUAUUCUUUCGUUCAUUUCUCUCUCUCCCUCUCCCUUUCUCCCCCUCCCUGAACAGAAGCCUUCCCUAUGUCUCUCUUUAGUUUUCAUUCUCUCUUCACACAGGGCAGAAUGUGCAAUUGUGAUUAGCCAGGAAACACUUUAAGACACCCAAGAAACUGAAGAGAGCAAGCAUAUUUAUCAUUUAAAAAGAUGAAAUACACAAGAAUAAAAAUCUUUAUUUUCUAGUUGUUUCAAAUGAGAACCAAAAGAGAUGAGAAAAAGAAUAAUAAGAUUAUAUUUUGGUUUUGUUCUCAAAAAUAACAUAUUCUUCAUGAGGAUAAAUAAUGUGUUUUAGAUAGACUGCUCCUAAGCGUCCUAAAGAAACAUGUUAGGCCUUAUGAAAUUCUUUUAAAAUAGUAAGUGAUUUCCAUACGGAAUAAUGCACCUUUUAAAAUUUCAGGGGUAUUUUCAUACCUCCUUGUAGCCUUCUUUGGCCUGGUAAGAUGGCUUUGUCCAAACCUUUAGAUGAUAAUUGGAAAAGGAAGAGUGUUGUUAAAAGAAUGUUAUUUUUCAACAGUUUACCAGACAAUGUUUAUAUAAGUAAGAAGAAUAAGCUGAGAAGUGAGGAGAGCCUCGUGUGUCACACAAAAGCACAGCUCAGCUUCUCUUUCCUUUUAUGAAGUGGAGAAUUAAUCAGACGCCAUGGAAACAUGUCUGUAUUACAUAAAGCCCUUAGAUACUUGGAACAGAACAAACAUAUUUAAGAAUUUUUUUUUCUUUAAAAUUGCACCACACUUGCAGUGAUGGCAAAUCCAUUUAAGUGACUCAGGUCACAACAGCUCACAGUAGAUCUCAGCCCGGAGAAGUAGAUCACAGCCGAUUCUAUGCUUUAUCAAAGGUCUUAGUUUUAUAAAAAACUUAUAGAUAAUAAAACAUAAUCAAGCAGCACUUUCAGAACCUGAAUGCGGUGAUUUUAAAAAGGUGCUUUUGUAACUAUUAAUCAUGUGAUGAAGUCUCUAUAAACUUAACAAUAACUGAUAUCAUAUCUUUCAGCCCAACCUGUCCCUCCCACUUUCCAGUCAUUCUGUGGCUUUCCCUUUUGUAUAGUAUUUGGACACUUACCAUGAGCCAGAUCUUAUGCUAAAUUCCAUAAAUAACUCUGUCUCUGUGUCUCUGUGUCUGUCUCUGUCUGUCUGUCUGUCUGUCUCGGUGUCUGUGUGUAAAGGAGACUCUCAUACACGUUAGGCAAGCAUUCUACUACUGUAUUUGGAGAACUUCAUUUCAUUUAAUACUUAAAAGCAAACCUGUGUAAUAAUAUUUUGUUUAUAAUUACAUUUGAGGAUAACAGCGGUGCUUGAAACAAAGAAUUUGAUCAAAAUAUGCUAUGUGUAUAAUCUCUUAUCUACCUACCUACCUACCUACCUACUUACCUAUCUCUAAAACUCAAUGUUGAACUGUUUCCAUAUAUACACAUUAGAUGGAAGAAUAAAUUUUAUUUUCCUCAAAGCUGUAGGAAUGUAGACAUUUCAUAUCUAAUGCUUGCAGUGACUUUCCUUUUGUGUGCUUAGAAUUCGCAUCAAAUCAUGCGUGGUUUAUUGCCAGAGCUCUGGAUGUGAACCAUAGCACAG
rnacentral:lncRNA from 1 species